GCCGAUGUGGCUCAGUUGGUAGAGCAGACGAUUCGUAAUCGUCAGGUCAGCGGUUCGACUCCGCUCAUCGGCU
rnacentral:tRNA from 1 species